rnacentral:rRNA from 1 species
UACAGAGGUCGCGAGCGUUAAUCGGAUUUACUGGGCGUAAAGCGUGUGUAGGUGGUUGUACAAGUCGGUUGUGAAAUCCCCGGGCUCAACCUGGGAACUGCUUCCGAGACUGUGCGACUAGAGAUCGGUAGAGGGCGGUGGAAUUUCCGGUGUAGCGGUGAAAUGCGUAGAUAUCGGAAGGAACACCAAUGGCGAAGGCAGCCGCCUGGGCCUGAUCUGACACUGAGACACGAAAGCGUGGGGAUCAAACAGG